GUUCAUCAUCCUUACGCCUUUCAUGUCUCUGGUCCUCGCAAUUUCGCUGCCCUUACGGGAGGGAUCUUCUCAAUUCUAGUUGAUCAACACAAUAAGCAGUCUGCGCCUAUAUAUUCCAAAGGAUUUUCUGUCAUUGGAAGCUAGCGAAAACAUGCUGAAGAAAGUGUCAGAAACUCUCUGGAUUUGCUGAAAAAGGGUUGCCCCUUCUAGAUCCUGUAGAGGACAUGAAGAUUCACAGCAGCUCAUACAAAAAGGCAUCCCGGAGAUUAGAGGCCUCGG